rnacentral:lncRNA from 1 species
GAUCAUUCACAAGCAGUUCAUCGCUCGUUCUCCCACGCAUCCAUUCCAUUGCCCACACUGCUUAUUCAUCUCUCGGACUUACGCCCGUAUACACGCGUUGCGUCCGUCGUCAAGUUGCCGGCUGCUCGUUGUUGCCGUCCGUCGUCAAGUCGCCGGCCGCUCGUCGUCCACUGCCUCGCUUGCUUCCGGCCGCUCAACAUACGCGCCAUCGUACGCGUCUUUGUUGUGUUGCCGUAGGCAAAGCACCAGUGUGUCUUCAGGGCUGUUGCUGCACUUCGAUCGGCUAAUCCUACCGUCAAGGUGAGAAACAAGGCAAACUGAAC